UAGGGUAAUUGUGAGGUUAAAUGAGUUAAUAUACAUAUGCUCAUUAAAACAGUUCCUGGCACAAAGUAAUUGCUAAAUAAGUAUUAGCCCUUAUUAUUCUUGUUAUUGUUUUUGUUUUAAGGAGUAUGAUCCUAGAAGAUGCUGGGUUGGCAAAAACUGAUACAAUCAGCACAGCUUCUUGGAUUUUCUGAUAUCUGGUUGCAACAAUUUUCAUGUGAUCCAACAAAAAAAGACACCACAGUGCAUUUCCAUAAUACAGUGACCUGAAUUUGCUGGGAGAGACUGUAGUCCAUCAGGAACAAUUUGAUGACAAGCUGAAACACAGGCCAUUGGAUAAAGGCUUUGGACUGAGAAGAAAGAGAACAGGGGGUCCGAGUUCUGGCUCUGAAUGACCUGCAUACCUUUUUGUAAUAGGACAAAAUAUCCCACAUUCUGGACCUCAGUUUCAUUACCUGUAAAAAGGAGAGCAGUAGACCAGAUGAUCUUUGAAGUUUUACUUUCGGCUGCAAAAUUCUGUGAUUUAAAUCUGGUUUUAGCUAUGGUAACUAUGAAGCAACAUGAUAGCUGUAAGAGGCUAAUGAUUACAUAUUCUGUAACACCAAAUUGAAAAAGCAAAAAUAUAAUUGAAAUUCCUUCAAGAGUCAUCCAAUUGCUCAUGGGGCAGUGCCGUGGCAAGUAUUAUAUUAUUCCCCACUUUUAAUGUUUCCUUUCAUUGAAGGGAUAUCCAUCAUGCAACACUCCUGGCAUCUCUCUGCACUAUCACUCACUCUUUUCUUGGGGAGAUACAGUGAUUUGUCUAGAUACAGCAGGUGAGUUUAGAAGGAGAAUCAGGACAGGGUCGCUAGCCCUUCCCCUGGAAUCCCCUUGGGAGCUGGUGUCCCUGCAGAGAAUGUGUGUCCUGCUCUGUUCCUUCAUGCUAUCAGUUAAUAGGGCCAAGGCCCUACCUGGGGAGCUCUGUAGUCACCGUGGGUAAAGUUGUCUAGUUCUGGGGUCUAGUGUUAGGAAAACAUUUGGUUCUUAAGUCCAAGCCACAUUCUGCAAUAUCCGCUUUCUUAGUAGCAAACACGAUAUUUUGAUUUCCUUGUGUCGUAUUUUUGGGGUCUAUUUCUAAAGUAGUUCGGAACUUGGAUGACAUGCUAUUUUGGGGGUUCCCUGAAGUCUCAAUGAGCAGCACUAGAUUGUAAUCACAGAUGACUUUGGCCAUGAACUUUCCACUUAGAUGCAUGCAGGUCUUCUCCCAGCCUUGAAUGUUUCUGGUAAGGUCUCAACAUCAUCACUGCGAAUUCUGGCCUUUGGUAUGCCAGAGAUCAUCUCAGCCAACAAUUACACAGCUGCAUGGCACCCACGGUUCUAAAAUGGAAGCCAAAUAUUUAAACGAUCACCAUGUGCCUUAAAUAUAUUGCAUCCAACUUGUUACAGAGCUGAAUCAGGAUGGGAAGGAAGAAGCAUUUAUUACAUGAUGUGGCUGUUGGCUGAAAUUUGAAUAAUUGAUCUACCCUUAUUACAAUUUGUUUUCCCCCUGAAUCCAGAAAGAAGAACAGCUUGAAGUCACAGAAACUAUGUAGUUUAAUACAUAUUUGAGGGCCUGGUAUAAUGCCUGGACUUCUUUAGGUACUAGGGGAUACAGCAGUGGACUAAAUGCACAAAAAUUCAUAUCCUCAAGGAACUUGUAUUUUAGUGGGAGGAGACACAAUAACCAAAGUAAACAAGCAAAUAAAGGAAAUAAAUAAUGUAAAUAAAUGCAGUAUAGUGGUACAGUGUCUGGAGUCAAACAGCCUGGGGUCAGGGCUCUAUCACUUAUAAGCCAUAUGACUUUAACCUCUAUGUACCUCAGUUUCCUCAUCUGUAAAAUGGGGUUAAUAAAACUUGGGAAGGUUUAUCAUGAACCAAUGCCCAGGGUUCUAGGAACUGCAAGAGGGCUAUGUAACUGAAGAGCAGAAUGCAAUAGAGAGGGGUCGUGGAUUGGGACUCCUUAGAAAAAGAGCCUAAGACAGGAAUUCAGGUGCCUAUGGUUUAUCGAGGAUGUGCUCUCAGGAAAAAGGGAGAGAGAAAACCAGAAGAGAGCAGAUGAAGGAGUUAAGCAAGGAUGAGGCCUCAGCUGGUGCAGACUGGCCCAUGGGGAGCUCUGGAGCAUGAACUGCACUGCAGAUUGUGUCCCCCGCUUGAGACCAGCGGGCUGGCCUUUUGUACCCCGAAAUCGGUGAGUCACUGGCAGUGGGCUGCCAGGGGAGAUAGUUCUUAGUCCCUUUGUGCUGCUAUUACAAGAACCACAGACUGUGUAGCUUAUAAACAACAGAAAUUUAUUUGUCACAGUUGUGGAGGCUGG